UUACGGUCACAUCACAUUGAAACACCAGCUCCUGUACGAACAACGAAGUUAAGCUACAUCGUGCUUGGUCAGUAUGUAGAUAGGUGACCGCUGGGGAAUACAAGAUGCU